GCGUCUAACUCUCUCUCUUUUUCUCUUUUUGUUUCAUCGCAUCUUUCUCUCACUCAAAUUUCAUCUGGAUCUCUUCUAUGAACCUAAGUGUCUUUCCAUCACAACCGUGAAACUGCGUCUAAGAAGGCGGAGGAGUUCAAGUGUAAAUCAACGUCGGCGUUAUGGUUCUAGAAAAGAAUGGUGUGUGAAUCAGUUUGCGGUGAAAAGGCACACGAUAGAGACAACAUCAAGCGGCAGGAUUAUUAGAUUUGUUUGGAGAAAAAGAGUGGGAGAAGUUUGCCAAUAGAGAUAGGUGGAGUUAGGGUAUGGAUCGAUGAUGAAUACGGAAGGUUUGUUACGGUUAUGAGCGAGAUUUAUGGAUUUGGUCGAAGGAAAUACACGGCUGGUUUUGUGAUGUGUUACUUUUUUUACCGUUUAUCCCAAAUAAUUUCUCCCAAAUUUUGUUUUGCUUUGACUUUUGAUAUUGGAGUUAUAGGUCUUUUCAGAUAUGCAAGUCUCAACUUUUAGCGUCGAAGAAUCAAAGGGCGGUUUGAGAUUUUAUUUCGUCAUCAUGGAAAUCGAACUGAGUAAUAGCAAUACUAGAGGGAGAGGUUUUGGUACCAUUCUUUGUUCCAAUACUAAUCCUAGAUCACUCAGGUUUCAACCUUCUGGGGUUUGCCUUUACUGGUUUAUGAAUGGCUUUAUCUCUCUCCCCAUCAAGGCUCAUGGUUUUGCUUUCAACAAAGCACUUAAGGGAUGGUGUAAGUGAAUGGCAGUUUUACCAAGUUCUACUAUACGAACUGGAUGUGAUUCAGAAGGUUUGAAGGGACCAAUAAAGAUGGGAACCUGUUUCUUUUUUUCAAUUUCUAUGAAUAAGCUUGAAUAUGGAAAUGAGGAGUCACCAAUGUCCCAAAGGAAGUCAAUUCAACAGAACUCCCAGAGUGCAAUUCAAACUAAUUUUGGUGCAUCCAUAUAGUCUAA